rnacentral:lncRNA from 1 species
CAAGACUCCAUCUCAAGAAAAAAAAAAAAUUUUUUUUGUUCCAUAGGUCUUGGGAAUCUUUUAUGCUCAUGAGGAAGCUAAUAUUUUCAAAUCUGUACAAUGUCAUUGCAUUUUUGUCAAUAAACGGUGUGUGCUUUACUGCAUUUCCUCAAAUUUCCUUCAGUGUCUGAGUCUAAUGGGGUUGCUAACUACCAUGUACUGAGAGCCUUCUGUUUGCCUGGCUUUACUACAAACAUUGCCCUUGUUAAUGCUCCUCUAAUCCCACCAUAAACCUGGGAGUCGGGCACAGCUGUCAUCUCCCUUGUGCAGAUGAGGAAGCUCCGGCUCAGAGAACUCAGCUGUAGUAAGUCAACACAGCUGGCCAGCAAAGGGUGAGGCUCAGGUGGUGUCUUCUUUCUCCCCAUGCUGGGCAGCUCAGGAGUGGUGUUUGUUAUGCAAAGCUGCCAAUCUGAUUUGCAAAAAAAAAUUCAUUGUGAAAAGCAUGUUGUAUUCAAGACAACUAUAUUUACUAAGAGUAGACAGAAUGAAAAAAUGAAUUUGAAUUAUUCUCAACCUAUUAUCAACCUUAUGCUGACCACAAAUAGGUAUUGAUUCAGCUAAAACUAUAAUUCCCUAACUAUACUCAACACAAGCUACUUUAGCAAAAGGAACAAGUGGUGCUUUAGUUGCAGUCUCAGAAGUCUUAGGUCUCACAUCCACAAACUUGUGCAGAACACCAAGGUGCCAGCCAUAGUCAGGUCCCCCACUUCCAACUCGCAGAGACGAUCUUUCCAGAGGGAGGGAAGAAGGAAAGAAGGGAGGAAGGUAGGAAAGGACAGAAGGAAGGAACGGUCUCCCCACUCCACAGAUGUGUUUUUCAGUUUCAUAACUUCCUAAUUUUAGACUUCAUGCUCUGUCUGAGGAAUCAGAUGUAUGUCAUUCCUCCAGAUUAAUGUUUCCUGGCCCUGUAACCAUAUUGCAAAUGUAUAUGCUAUGACAUAACCACAAAAGCAGGUCAUAAUAGUAUAUAUCAAGAUUAUAACCAUUUAACAUAUAACAGAUGCACUGCAGAAAAUGACUUCAGGAAAACACCACAAAAUACUAAAAGGUAAGUAGAACAGAUGGAGGAUUCUUUUUUUCUAGUUUCUAAAAAUAGUUUAAAUUAAAUUACCUUUCUAUUAAAAUGCUUCUGAGCCAGGUGCGGUGGCUCACGCCUGUAAUCCUAGCACUUUGAGAGGCCUAGGCAGGCUGAUCACGAGGUCAGAAGUUCAAGACUAGCCUGGCCAAUAUGG